GAUUUCGGAUUGUAAACCACUGUUGUAAGGGAAGAACGUUAUUAGUAGGAAAUGGCUAAUAAGUGACGGUACCUUACCAGAAAGGGACGGCUAACUACGUGCCAGCAGCCGCGGUAAUACGUAGGUCCCGAGCGUUAUCCGGAAUUAUUGGGCGUAAAGGGCACGUAGGCGGACAAAUAAGUUUGAUGUCAAAUAUGAUGGCUCAACCAUCAAGAGGCGUUGAAAACUGUUUAUCUAGAAUCUCGGAGAGGUAAGUGGAAUUCCAUGUGUAGCGGUGGAAUGCGUAGAUAUAUGGAGGAACACCAAUGGCGAAGGCAGCUUACUGGACGAAGAUUGACGCUGAGGUGCGAAAGCGUGGGUAGCAAACAGGAUUAGAUACCCUGGUAG
rnacentral:rRNA from 1 species